rnacentral:rRNA from 1 species
UACGGAGGGGGCAAGCGUUGUUCGGAAUUACUGGGCGUAAAGGGCUCGUAGGCGGCCAACUAAGUCGGAUGUGAAAUCCCCAGGCUUAACCUGGGAACUGCAUCCGAUACUGGAUGGCUUGAAUUCGGGAGAGGGAUGCAGAAUUCCAGGUGUAGCGGUGAAAUGCGUAGAUAUCGGGAGGAACACCAGUGGCGAAGGCGACUACCUGGCCUGUUCUUGACGCUGAGGCGCGAAAGCGUGGGGAGCAAACAGG